UACGGAGGGUGCAAGCGUUAAUCGGAAUUACUGGGCGUAAAGCGCACGCAGGUGGCUGAGUCAGUCGAUUGUGAAAGCCCUGGGCUUAACCUGGGAAUUGCAGUCGAUACUACUCAGCUAGAGUGCGGUAGAGGGUAGUGGAAUUCCCGGUGUAGCGGUGAAAUGCGUAGAGAUCGGGAGGAACACCAGUGGCGAAGGCGGCUACCUGGACCAGCACUGACACUGAGGCACGAAAGCGUGGGGAGCAAACAGG
rnacentral:rRNA from 1 species